UUCUCCCCGGAGGAGUGGGGCUGUCUGCGGCCCGCGCAGAGGGCUCUGUACCGGGACGUGAUGCGGGAGACCUACGGCCACCUGGGCGCGCUCGGUGAGAGCCCCGGGUCCGAGCCCCCUCCUCCUUCACCGGGUUCACAGGGGAGAUGAUGUAGAAGGGCCGAGAGGACUGUGAGCCCUAAUCCCGCACUCUUGCACCAACACCAGCAGCCACCUCCCGUUCCCAGGGCUUCAGGUACCCCCUCGGGAGUGUUUUCACCCGCAUCCACUUCAUUCAGGCAGCAGCACUGCAGCCCCGUCCAGGAGAUGUCCCAAACAGGAAGGAAGAGGAACCCGAGGAAGUCCCAAGAGCCAAAGGGCCUAGAAAGGCUCCUGUGAAGGAGAGUCCUGAAGUGCUGGUGGAACGCAACCCUGACCCAGCUAUUAGCGUGGCCCCGGCACGGGCACAGCCACCCAAAAAUGCUGCCUGGGACCCGACCACAGGAGCACAGCCCCCGGCACCCAUACCCAGCGUGGAUGCUCAGGCCGGCCAGCGGCGCCACGUGUGCACGGACUGCGGCCG
rnacentral:sRNA from 1 species